rnacentral:rRNA from 1 species
AAUAGAUACCCAGGUAGUCCAUGCCGUAAACGUUGGGAACUAGAUGUAGGGACCAUUCCACGGUUUCUGUGUCGCAGCUAACGCAUUAAGUUCCCCGCCUGGGGAGUACGGCCGCAAGGCUAAAACUCAAAGGAAUUGACGGGGGCCCGCACAAGCGGCGGAGCAUGCGGAUUAAUUCGAGGCAACGCGAAGAACCUUACCAAGGCUUGACAUAUACGAGAACGCCCUAGAAAUAGGGAACUCUUUGGACACUCGUAUACAGGUGGUGCAUGGUUGUCGUCAGCUCGUGUCGUGAGAUGUUGGGUUAAGUCCCGCAACGAGCGCAACCCUCGUUCUAUGUUGCCAGCACGUCAUGGUGGGAACUCAUAGGAGACUGCCGGGGUCAACUCGGAGGAAGGUGGGGAUGACGUCAAAUCAUCAUGCCCCUUAUGUCUUGGGCUUCACGCAUGCUACAAUGGCCGGUACAAAGGGCUGCAAUACCGCAAGGUGGAGCGAAUCCCAAAAAGCCGGUCUCAGUUCGGAUUGAGGUCUGC